rnacentral:lncRNA from 10 species
UUUAUCAGGGGCUUCUCCCUUCACUUGACACUCAAUCCUGCUGCUCUGUGAAGAAGGUGCCUGCUUUUCCUUUGCCUUCUGCCAUGAUUGUAAGGUUCCUGAGGCCUCCCCAGCAAUGUAGAACUAUUGUAACCUCCUGGAGGGCAAAGGCUGUGUCUGCCUCAUCUGUGCAUUUCCACCACCCAAUCUGUAGUAGAUGUUUCUUGAAUAAAUGGUCUUAUUUCCUUUGUGGGCAGUAUGAUGGAUCCCAGAAAUAAAUUAACCAGCCAACUCAAGGAUAUAUACACCUAAUGACAGUGACAGAAAUGAGUCGAUAUCAUGUUUACUGACUUCCCCCAGCAAAUGUAACAGAGAGUUGACUUUCCUGGGUUGGUAUCUAGAAAGGAGUAGUGUGAACCUGGCACUAGGCAUGGAGCUAGAACAGUCAUCUACUGCCGGUCUCUGUGACUUUUUAGUAAGUUUCUGUAGGACAAUGUGCACAUUUCUCAGAUAACAAAAAAAGAAGACAUCGUGGGCUAGGCCAGUGUUUCUGGAAGCCAGGACUGCUGUCCAGGAUGGGAUUAUCUCCAACAUAUGGUUCAGGUUCUUCACAUUUCCUUCUUUUGCAUCUUCUAACAACUAAUUUUUUUGUGUGUCUUAAAUUCAAACUCUGCAAAGAGAAGAAUUUAAUCGAUCCAAUUUGUUCAUCACAGCCUGCUUACAAGCUUGAGUCAGAUGUUUUCUCCUGGUAAACCAGCUGCCUCCCUCAAGAAUGACAUCAUCAUGUGGUGGGGACCAUGGUAACCUGAGCAGAAAGAACCACCUUGGAUUGUACCCUCAGCAGGGAGCUUUGAGUUGAACCAAAUGGUGUUGCUGCUUCAUGAAAGUCCCUUGCGCAUCCACAGAUGGUCAUCCCACAAAAGAGGAGAAGUCAGUUGCCAGUUGGUGGGCCUGAACCUCAUUGUAUUCAUUUCCUAAAGCUGCCAUAACAAAUUACCACAAACUCAGUGGCUUAAAACAAUAAAAAUUUAUUCUCCCUCAGUUCUGGAACCCAGAAGUCUGAAAUCGAGGUAUUGGUAGGGCCAUACUCUCUCAGAAGGCUCCAGAGGAUAAUUCUUCCUUGCCUUUUCAAGUUCUGGUGUCCCCAGAUAUCCUUGGCUUGUGGCCACAUCACUAAGUUCUGCCUCUGUUUUCACAUGGCCUAUUCCUAUGUUGUUCUCUCCUCUGCGUGUCUCUGACAAGAAUACUUGUCAAAGGGUUUAGGACUCACCUGGUAAUCUACGAUCACCUCAUCUCUUAGUUAUAUCUGCAAAGAGCCUUUUUUCAAAUAAGGUCACAUUCACAGGUUCCCAGGAUUAGGAUGUGGAGAUAUAUAUAUAUAUAUAUAUAUAUAUAUGCUUUGGAGGGCAACAUUUAACCAGAGAAAUAACUAUGAAAUAUUUAACAUUAGUCCAACUCCUGAACAACCUGGCACAUAUUAAGAGCUCAACAAAUAUUUGUUGGAUAAAUGAACAACUCAGCACUUUAAUUUUACCAAUUGGGAAACUGAAACCAGGAGACGUGAUCUACCAAAAUCACACAUCUAGAUUAUAUUAAAUCUUGAACUGAGCCCAGAUUGUCUGCCCUGGGUCUGAGGCUCCCGACUUCACAGUAGGCCAUCACCUUAUUGCUGUUGCAUUACAAGUAAGAAUAACUGAGUUUCAGAGACACUUGACCAAACUCAACUUAUUAUCAACUGGCCUAGGUCCCCAGAUCCCCAGCCCAGAGCCACUUUCAUCUCAUUCUACAACUUGAAGGCUUUCUUCAUCAAGCCUGGAAAGGAAGUUUCAGAUAGUAAAAUGAAGUUCCAGAAAAUCCAAGGAGAAAACAAAGAAUAGCAUGAGGUAUAUUUUAUCUGUACUAAAGAAGGUUGGUAACACAUUCUGUUUUCCCACCUUUUCCUACAAAUUCCUCAAAGAUACACUGUCAACACGCAGGAAGGACCAGGCCCUUACCCGGUGGAAAAGCUUUUGGAGCACAGCUCGAUAUUUUCAGAUACACAGCCAGCCCACACGAUAGAGGCUCAGUCACCUCAGAACUAAGAGGGCCUCUCCCGACUUCUCCAAGGUGCUGCAAAGCCAGGAGAGCAGUGUGAGAGAAAAACCAAAUGUGUCUUACAGGGAAAAUCAGGUCUUUAUUCACACAAUACCCUUCAUGGUUUUUAUCUAAAUGCCAAAGCUACAAAAGAAAAAAGGGAAGAAGGAAGUUAUCCUUUCCCAGUACCCCAUUCUUGGUUGCCGUGACAACAUCCAACUGCUGCACGUCCUGUUCAUCCUCUUGGUUUCCCUUGUCCCCACUCUCUGAGGUGGCCAUUUGCCUUCUGGUGCCUCCCAUUGGUUAAACCUAACCAAAAUAUGUCUCUAGAGGGUGCCUAUUUCUUUCUUAAAUAUUGAGAAAUUUCGAUAGAAGUCAAGAUUUCCUGCUUCUCUUGAAACAUCCUAGGCUCAUACCAGAGUCUGAAUUCCCACAGGGCUAUAUAAUGGGCUUGAAUUUGGAGUUUGAUGAUCCUUCCCUCUGAGUACAGGCUCUCUAGGUCACCACUGUUCCCACCUGACUGCUUCUUUCCUUCAUGGUACCAGCCUGAGGACAUUUUACUUUGAAUCCUUUCUUUUUGUCAACUGGUAUUCAUUCAGUAGGUUUCAGCUAAGCAUGUCAUUUACAUUGUUGUAAGAUGACUACUCAAGAAUAGGCAAGUGCUAUUCAUAGUUCAAAAGUGACUUCCACAAACAAAGGUCCUAUGUAAUCUCUCAUAAAAAUUUGAGCUUGAACAUCUGAUUGGAUUUUCCCUCAGCCACCUUAGCUCUGCGUCCCCACAAUACCAGAGGUUUCUGCUGUUGGAUGCCGGUUUCUGCUGAGUACUGGACAGCUCCACUUUUUGCUUAAAGUCAGAACAUGGGCAUCUAAAAAUAUCUCAGUCAUCACUGCACUGACAUAAUGCUUCUGUUGCUCUAAGAGCAGAUCCUCUGUCAAAAGAAUCAUUUCAAGAGCCAGUUUGGUUUAAGUUCAAUAGCUACAUGUGAAAUGACUUUGAGCUUUCAUUUUCUCUCUCUCUCUUUCUUCCUCUCUGGAUGUAGAAGCUCUUUUUAAAGGAUCUGGAUAUGGCAAAAUAGUAGGAGGGAGUGUGGAGAACAAUUCUGCCUGGAAUUGUAGAGCAUGCUUUGACUUAGCGUGUGCAAAGGCAUUAGUCCCAAGCAUAUGUCUAACACAUGAUAGGUGCACAAAAUACAUUGGAAGGAAAAUGGAGAGGAAGUUACCCAGUGUGUAGGCUUCAGUUUCUCCAUUUUGUUUUAGUGACCUUUAUUGAGCACCUGCAAUGUGUAAAGCAUUCUUCUCGGCACAGUUGAGUUUCAUUGAUUCACUUAUUCAUUUUUCCGUUCUCUGAGUGUCCACUUAGCUUCCCUACUGUUCCAUUUGCAUAUGUGAUUUCAGUUCUCGACUGUCAGCUCAGAAUCUUAUCACUCACCCAAAUAUUCUUUAAGAGCAAAAGGCUGCUCUUAUCAUCAGCAGUUAUCACAAUACAUUUGCUAUCUAAAUUUAACAGGAAAUUUCCUAUAUUUGUUCUACAUGGUAUAAAAGAGAAUCUCUGCAACCACUCAGGAAGAAAAUUCUCCAGUAGCUUUGUCUGUGGGCUGGAGUGACUCACUUCAUCUCAAAUUUACCUAAACCCUGGAGAGCUCACUGGGACAGGUGCAAUGGCAACUGGUUGUCCUCCAUUGGACCAAGUUCACUGAACGGUACAUCUAACAUCUAGAGAGUAACUCACCAACAAGGAAGUCAUUGUGUUGUCUCACCAGAUUGUGAUCAAGCCCAUCCACCUCCCCAAAGCAUAAUACUUGACAGGGACUAGGCACUCAACAUACUUUUGAUCAAUGAAUGAAUGAAUGAAUGCACAGAGAAUGAAUGAACAAACGAGGCACCAGUUUUUCAAGUAAAAUGGAGACCUAGAAAUUCCUGGGCUUCUGUUCUAACCACUAAAUCAAUCAAUGUCCUCUCCAUCAGCAAAUCUUACUCUCAGUGGGCUGAAUGCACACCUCUUUUCAUUUUAUAUAAUAAAUUCAGAACUCUGACAAGGCUCAGUGCCUCGUGGUUUUUUUUUGUGUGUGUGUGAUAGGGAUUUGAGGAAAAAAAUGCAGCAGGUUUCCUUUACCAUCUGACAAUAGAGCCCGUGGAGAUUCAAAAAUAUCAA